AGCUCAGUUGGUUAGAGCAUCUGACUGUUAAUCAGAGGGUCCAAGGUUCGAGUCCUUGAGGGG
rnacentral:tRNA from 1 species